rnacentral:rRNA from 1 species
GACGAACGCUGGCGGCGUGCUUAACACAUGCAAGUCGAACGCUGAAGCCCGCUUGCGGGUGGAUGAGUGGCGAACGGGUGAGUAACACGUGAGUAACCUGCCCUUCACUUUGGGGAUAACCUUCGGAAACGGGGGCUAAUACUGGAUAUGACUCAUGGCCGCAUGGUUGUGGGUGGAAAGAUUCUUUGGUGGGGGAUGGGGCUCGCGGCCUAUCAGCUUGUUGGUGGGGUGAUGGCCUACCAAGGCGACGACGGGUAGCCGGCCUGAGAGGGCGACCGGCCACACUGGGACUGAGACACGGCCCAGACUCCUACGGGAGGCAGCAGUGGGGAAUAUUGCACAAUGGGCGCAAGCCUGAUGCAGCGACGCCGCGUGGGGGGAU